rnacentral:rRNA from 1 species
CCUACGGGUGGCAGCAGUGGGGGAUAUUGCACAAUGGGGGAAACCCUGAUGCAGCGACGCCGCGUGGGUGAAGAAGUAUUUCGGUAUGUAAAGCCCUAUCAGCAGGGAAGAAAGAAGACGGUACCUGACUAAGAAGCCCCGGCUAACUACGUGCCAGCAGCCGCGGUAAUACGUAGGGGGCGAGCGUUAUCCGGAUUCACUGGGUGUAAAGGGGGCGUAGACGGCCGUGCAAGCCAGGAGUGAAAGCCCGGGGCCCAACCCCGGGACUGCUCUUGGAACUGUGCGGCUGGAGUGCGGGAGGGGCAGGCGGAAUUCCUGGUGUAGCGGUGAAAUGCGUAGAUAUCAGGAGGAACACCGGCGGCGAAGGCGGCCUGCUGGACCGCGACUGACGUUGAGGCUCGAAAGCGUGGGGAGCGAACAGGAUUAGAUACCCCUGUAGUC